CAUAGCUCAGUGGACAGAGCACCGGGCUUCGAACCCGGGUGUCGGGGGUUCGAGUCCCUCUG
rnacentral:tRNA from 1 species